rfam:Eubacterium sp. CAG:786 genomic scaffold, scf397
AGCUUACUGCCUUGUACGUGUGGAUAUACUGUUUAUAAUCCGAACAUGUUGUAAAAGGGAUCUCGACUCUGGCGGUGGAUUGCAGACCUCCCGUACUGCGGAAGAUAGGGAGCGUGAAGCCACUAGGCGAUUUUACCCACCCUGCUGAUUAGCGGGUUUUAUUAGGUAUAUCUACGGCAAGGCGGUUUGACU